rnacentral:rRNA from 1 species
UACGUAGGGGGCAAGCGUUGUCCGGAAUCAUUGGGCGUAAAGAGCGUGUAGGCGGCCAGAUAAGUCCGCUGUGAAAUCUCGAGGCUCAACUUCGAGCUGUCGGUGGAAACUGUCUGGCUAGAGUCCGGAAGAGGAGAAUGGAAUUCCUGGUGUAGCGGUGAAAUGCGCAGAUAUCAGGAGGAACACCGGUGGCGAAGGCGGGUCUCUGGGCAGUAACUGACGCUGAGGAGCGAAAGCGUGGGGAGCAAACAGG